CCUACGGGGUGCAGCAGUGAGGAAUAUUGGUCAAUGGACGAGAGUCUGAACCAGCCAAGUAGCGUGAAGGAUGACUGCCCUAUGGGUUGUAAACUUCUUUUAUAUGGGAAUAAAAUGUUCCACGUGUGGGAUUUUGUAUGUACCAUAUGAAUAAGGAUCGGCUAACUCCGUGCCAGCAGCCGCGGUAAUACGGAGGAUCCGAGCGUUAUCCGGAUUUAUUGGGUUUAAAGGGAGCGUAGGUGGAUUGUUAAGUCUGUUGUGAAAGUUUGCGGCUCAACCGUAAAAUUGCAGUUGAAACUGGCAGUCUUGAGUACAGUAGAGGUGGGCGGAAUUCGUGGUGUAGCGGUGAAAUGCGUAGAUAUCACGAAGAACUCCGAUUGCGAAGGCAGUUCACUGGACUGCAACUGACACUGAGGCUCGAAAGUGUGGGUAUCAAACAGGAUUAGAUACCCGGGUAGUC
rnacentral:rRNA from 1 species